rnacentral:rRNA from 1 species
UACGUAGGGGGCAAGCGUUAUCCGGAAUUAUUGGGCGUAAAGAGUGCGUAGGUGGUUACCUAAGCGCAAGGUUUAAUCUUGAGGCUCAACCUCAUUUUGCCUUGCGAACUGGGCUACUUGAGUGCAGGAGGGGAAAGCGGAAUUCCUAGUGUAGCGGUGAAAUGCGUAGAUAUUAGGAAGAACACCGGUGGCGAAGGCGGCUUUCUGGACUGUAACUGACACUGAGGCACGAAAGCGUGGGGAGCAAACAGGAUUAGAUACCCCGGUAGUCCCUGAGCGGG